UAUGUUAGAAACAGUUGCAACUGGUGAAAUGUGUUGAAUUACUUCUCCACUGUGCAGCAGAAACAAUAUUUUUCGUCCAGGCUGGGUAGAAGACUAUUUAGGAACCUGAAAAUGUCCUCAAAGCAUGGCUCCUGCAGGGAUUCACCAUCAGAGCAGCUCAGGAGCAUUUACAAAAUAUUUCAAAACGAGGAAUGAACAGUGUCUGCUCACAGCCACAUGGAGCGGCCUCAGCCUCCUCCCACUGACAACACCUCCAGUGUGUCCACAGCCACAGACAGUUCAAGUGUCAUUAUCUGAGUCUGAUCACAGACGCUGCUCUCGUCUCUGCAGGACACG